rnacentral:lncRNA from 1 species
AUGCCCCUUUGGGAUGUGUUCUCUUGGGGUGGGGGGGGAGAGGGAAGCACAGGGACCCCGGACCAGAACUGCCACCUGUGCCUCACUUUCGUCCUGGUGAGGACAGACGGAGCUGGCAGACAGGAAGAGCUUAGAACAGUCCCCAGCACGCAGAGGAAAUACUCCACAAGCCUGAGCCACUAUUAUUAUUCCUUGAUGCCAACGGUCUCAUCAGAAAGAGCCAGGAAAAUAUCCUUGGAUGACAGGAUUAUCUACUGGCUAAUUCACGAGAUACGAAGAGGAAAUCUCGACAGCGCUGAGCUGGGUCUUGAAGGACAAGACAAUUCUGCGGUCUCCGAUGCCUUCCCCCUCUUCCCCUCGGGCCUGCCAGAGGAACUGCCUCUCCCAGCGUCCACCCAGAGGCCUCGAACCUCCCUAGUGACCGUCCCCACUGACCAGUCCCUCUCGUCUCUGCCCCAACGCUGCCCGGGGUGAUGUGACCCUUGCCCCCGCCUGACCGGAAACCCUCCCUGAGCAGGGCACCCCCGUAACUGAAGCUAUCGACGCUCCUCGGGGAACUGGGAGAUUUCUCCCUGCCCCCAGCCCAAGGAAACAGAUCUCAAAACGUUGGCCACAUGAAAGGCUCAUGUGUAAAAAAAAAAAAAUUCGGUUCAACCAAUAUUUCCGCUACAUGCAAAUCACAGACCCGGGCCCUGCAGAGGGCACGCGCAGACAAGAGCGGAAGAAGCUGGUGCUUCAAAGUUCCUGAAAGCCAGUGAGGAAGUGAGGGGACCAGAGCGAGAGGAACGCUUUAGAGAAGAGCAUUCUGUGGCUCUGGCAUCACCACAACUAGGCAGAAGCAGAGCCCAGGAUUCCAGAAGGCAAGGGGGAAACGGCUUCUUCGAAUCACUGAAGAUCUCAUUAGAACAAAUCCCCUGUUUAUCCAACAUCUGUGGUGUCACUAUGUAAAUAUCCAUUAAAGUGCCAAAUCAAGUAUUAAGCACUUCUAUGCUCAAGUCAAUGUUCUAGAAUGCACAGGACUUUGCAAAAAGAAGGGGGGGGAGGACAUUAAGCAGAAUUAACUGUAAUCCAUGAAAUUGGCAAUCACGUGCACUUCUGUCUCAAAGCCCCACCUAUGAGCGCUUUUGGCUCUCUCCAGGAGGCCUGCUUUCCCAGGCACUCCGCAUGGGACACAGCGAGGAUGGCGCUACAGGGGUUAAGUAAUCACCUGUCCGAAGCGGCGGCACCAGGUCUCUGAGAUGAGCACCCACUCCUCACCGCACCCCUCCCUCAGGAGCGCAACGCCUUCCCCACCCUAAGAACUUGCACUGUGGCAAUUACUGGAGAAAGAAAAAAAGCACGUAUCAAACCGUAGGAGCAGAACAGCAAGGAGUUCUGGAAUCAGAUUAUUUCUGGGAAUCCGUCAGGAGGACGCUUUUGACUACAGAGAAGAUGAGGGAUCUCGAGGUCUGUGGCCAGGGACUCCAUUCCCCCCGAAUUUCUCAAUAGCAUCUGGCACACUGUGGGGCCUCUCUAACAUGAGCUAAUAAAAGCACAACAAUAAACAGAAGUAGCCUUCUGAACUAAAGCCAACUCUGCCUGCACGUACAUAUUAUAAAAAUCUCACGCAAGCCAACAAUUCUUAUAUUAUGCUAGUUUCAUCCCAAUAUAAUUUCAAUAGCUCUAUUGUAAAGCGAAAUUACCGGCAGGGUUCUGAUUAAAAAGAUGGCAACAUUCCGCAUUCAGACCGUGUGACAGACUUGCCCCAUAAUAUAAAUAACUUGAUUUAAAAAAAAAAAAAUCAGGGUGAUGAUCACCACUCCUACACACAAAAAAGCCGGUGAGAUACGAAGAUUAAAUGAACAACCAUCCCCAUCAGUGUCUCCGAUUUUAAAAACUGAGCCUGUGAGGCUGAGGUUGGGAAUCUGUCACUGAUCUGACUCUCUAGUCCCAGUCUCCUAGUUCCAGUGACUCAGGGCCCUGCACACAUUCCUCGACAAAGGGGACGUACCACCACACAGAGGUGCUGUUUCUUAGAAUAUGCUUCCAGAAGCCUGCGAAGGCUUUAUUCCAGAGUCGCAAACCCCAGGACAACCUGCAGUGGGGGCGUCCGAGCCUCCAGAGGUCACCAGGUCAUCACGAAAGGAGGAUUCUGAUCUGGGAGCCUGGCUGGGAGCAGCGACCCCUCACACACCCCUGGGCCAGGUCCUCCUGGCACCCACUCCCCACCGCACCAUCGGCGCGGCCAUUGGCGGCUGCCGUCCUAAG